rnacentral:rRNA from 1 species
UACGAAGGGAGCUAGCGUUGUUCGGAAUUACUGGGCGUAAAGCGCACGUAGGCGGAUUGCUAAGUCAGGGGUGAAAUCCCGGGGCUCAACCUCGGAACUGCCUUUGAUACUGACAAUCUCGAGUCCGAUAGAGGUGGGUGGAAUUCCUAGUGUAGAGGUGAAAUGCGUAGAUAUUCGGAGGAACACCAGUGGCGAAGGCGGCUCACUGGUCCGGUACUGACGCUGAGGUGCGAAAGCGUGGGGAGCAAACAGG